rnacentral:rRNA from 1 species
AUGGAUAGCGCGGCGAACACGAUUGUGAGUGUUGGGCAGCUAGUAGGCGAGGAGUUUUGGCUGCUCCGCAAGGUCGGCGGCGAUGUGGCCGAGUUGAGGAACGAGCUGGCGACCAUGAGCUCCCUCCUUCGCACAUAUUCCGAAGCCGAGGCCGGCACCGUGGACCACUUCGUCCGGGAGUGGAUGAAGCAGCUGCGCGAGCUCGCCUAUGAUGCUGAGGACUGCGUCGACCUCUACAUCUUCCGCAUCAAGUCCCGCAAAGGAGACGGCCUUCUCGCCUGGUCAAAACAUAUGGUCGCGACGAUUUUCCCUCGCCAUCUCAUCGCCGGUAAAAUCAAGGACCUCCGCCUCCGCGCCAUCUCUAUCAGCGAGCGCCAUGCUCGUUACGGCGCCAUCGACCGCGAGAAACUGAGCCCCUCGGUUUCUUUAGCCCCUGUUGCGGCGGUGACCAGGCAAGCACUCCGCCCUGCCAACUACACUGAUAAGUUAGUUGGCAUCGCGGGACAGGCCAACACUCUGGCGGAGAAGGUGAAGGCGAUGAAUAAUGACCAAGAAGACAAGCUCAAGGUGUUCUCCGUUGACGGGUUUGGAGGGCUAGGCAAAACAACGCUGGCCAUGGAGGUGUGCCGGCGGUUGGAGCCGGACUUCGAUCGUCAAGCGCUAGUGUCUGUGUCGCAGGCAUUCGAUGCCGGGAAGGACCUCAGCGCAUUACUGAAGCGCGUGCUUCAACAGAUGGUGAAGCCAAAAGCAGAUAAUGAGAAAGUCAUCAAGGAAGAAGACUCCUUGGGCGGUGAUCAUGACGUAUUAAGCGUGGAUCAGCUGGCCAGGAAGCUCGAUGAGCUUCUCGCCGACAAAAGGUACCUCAUAGUCAUCGAUGAUGUAUGGACAAUAGCAGCAUGGGAUGCAAUCAGGUCUACGUUGCCAGAUGGCAAGCCUGGCAGCAGAAUCAUUGUGACCACUCGGAUAAAGACUGUGGCCAAAGAAUGCAGUGAUGUUAGUGCUACCGAACACUACAUCCAUCAUAUGAAGCCACUUACAGAUGAAGACUCCAAUGAGUUGUUUCGUAGUAGAGCAUUUGGCUCCUCAAUGGAUAAGGCCUCCCAUACCAAGGAGAUGGAAAAUAUAAGUCACAAUGAAGAGCUAGAAGAUAUAAUGAAGAGAAUUCUAAAGAAGUGUGCUGGGUUGCCAUUGGCCAUUGUUAGCAUCGCCAGCCUCUUGGCGAGCUACAAAUAUCCGGAGAGGAAAGAUAUGUGGGAAACUGUAUGGAAAUCAAUUGGUUCACAAAUGGAGAGCAACCCUACCCUUGAAGGGAUGAGGCAGAUACUCACACUCAGCUACAACCACCUACCUUAUCACCUCAAGGGUUGCAUGAUGUAUCUUAGUAUUUUUCCAGAGGAUUUUGAGAUCCCUAGGGAUCGGCUCUUAUACAAAUGGAUUGCAGAAGGAUUGGUCGAGGAGAAGCGGGGUUUGACUUUGUUGGAGAUUGCAGAAGGUUAUUUCGAUGACCUGUCGAGUAGGAGCAUGAUUGAUUCAGUCUUGUCCCUCGGCUACAAUGGAAAGUGGACAUCAUGUCGGGUGCAUGACAUGCUGCUUGAGGUCAUGGUAUCCAAAUCCUUGGAGGCAAACUUUAUUAGCCUAUCGGGUGGUCAAUAUGAAGGGAUGCCAUACGACAGGAUUCGUCGCCUCUCGGUACAUGCAGGAGCCAACAAUGACUCAACAUCCAUGAACGGGGGGGCAUCAGGAAGGCGUGGUAAGAGAAAUAGCAUGGAGAGGUUAGAAGUGCAGCAGGUUCGUUCACUAAGCAUUUUUGAUUUCCAAGAGAAGAAGCUACUUGAUCGGCUAGGCCAGUUCACCCUACUGAGGGUACUUGAUCUGGAGGACUGCAAGGGCCUGGAAAACAAACAUGUGAAGGAUAUCUGCGGGAUGUACCUCCUAAGGUUCUUGAGUAUGAAGGGUACCGAUAUCAGUCUGCUGCCUGAGAAAGUGGGUGAGCUAGAGCAUUUGCAAGUGCUUGACGUGGCCGGCACACUGCUUCUCAAGCUACCAGAAACCAUGACAGGGCUAGAGAAACUCGAGUAUCUGAGAUUCCGCCAUAGGGCACAGUGGUACACUAUGUGGACUCCUCCUGUUGGGAUCCGUAAAAUGAAAGCACUGCAGAAUAUUGAUUGUGUAGUUAUAAAGGAUGUUCGAGUUGCACAAGACCUGGGUGAACUAGGAGACUUGCGUGAUGUAACUAUCUUUGUUGAAGAAUCUAGUGGAAGUACUCAGGCUAUUCUUGAUGCACUUGUCAAGUCCAUCAGCAAGCUGUACUCCCUUCGAAGCCUCGGGAUUGGCCGCUUUAACAAGAGGUCGAUCAACUUUCUCAAUGCCAUGCCGUCGCCACCGAAGCUCCUCCAAUAUCUUUACCUGGAUGGUGCCAUGGAUGAGUUUCCCCACUGGGUCCCAUCACUGCACAAUCUCGUUGACGUUAACAUUAUUGGCUCACGGCUUAGAAUGGACCAAGUAUAUGGCGUCCUGUGCAAGCUGCCCAUCCUGCAGAGAAUCAACAUGUUGGAUAAUGCCUACGUUGACAAAGAGCUGGUUGCACGUACUACCCAUAACUUUCCGGCGUUGAGGGACCUCUCAGCUAACUGCCGGCAUACCGAAGUGGUCAAAUUUGAGCAUGGGUCCAUGGAUAUGCUCGAGGAGCUUUAUUUGCAUUUGGACGAUUAUGGGAGGAGAAUUGUUGGCAUCCAGCACUUGAGGAAGCUGAAAAGGGUGACGAUCGCUUGCAAUAAACACAAAAAAUCUGCAGUGGAUGAUGUACUGGAUAACCUAAAGUGGGAUAACAAAAGGCGCCUCGAGUCCAAUCAGUUGCAGUUCACGGUCGGAGUGCAAUACAAUUGA